rnacentral:rRNA from 1 species
UACGUAGGGUGCGAGCGUUGUCCGGAAUUAUUGGGCGUAAAGGGCUCGUAGGCGGUUUGUCGCGUCGGGAGUGAAAAUCCAGGGCUUAACUCUGGACUGGCUUCCGAUACGGGCAGACUAGAGGUAUGCAGGGGAGAACGGAAUUCCUGGUGUAGCGGUGAAAUGCGCAGAUAUCAGGAGGAACACCGGUGGCGAAGGCGGUGCUCUGGGCAUUACCGGACGCUGAGGAGCGAAAGUGUGGGGAGCGAACAGG